GCCCGGCCAUAAAUUCAAAUGCUUUNCCCCCACCCAAGCAUUCGCCAGGGAACUACGAGCACAAACGCUUAAAACCCUAAGGACUUGGCGGUGUCCCAAACCCACCUAGAGGAGCCUGUUCUAUAAUCGAUAACCCACGCUACACCCAACCCCCUCUCGCCUCAGGCAGCCUANAUACCGCCGUCGCCAGCUCACCUUCCCUGAAAGCCCAACAGUGAA
rnacentral:rRNA from 1 species